AUGCACGCUGGCGGCGUGCUUCACACAUGCCAGUCGCACGAUGAAGCCCAGCUUGCUGGGUGGAUUAGUGGCGAACGGGUGAGUAACACGUGAGUAACCUGCCCUUGACUCUGGGAUAAGCCUGGGAAACUGGGUCUAAUACUGGAUAUGACUUCUCAUCGCAUGGUGGGGGGUGGAAAGAUUUAUUGGUCUUGGAUGGACUCGCGGCCUAUCAGCUUGUUGGUGAGGUAAUGGCUCACCAAGGCGACGACGGGUAGCCGGCCUGAGAGGGUGACCGGCCACACUGGGACUGAGACACGGCCCAGACUCCUACGGGAGGCAGCAGUGGGGAAUAUUGCACAAUGGGCGCAAGCCUGAUGCAGCGACGCCGCGUGAGGGAUGACGGCCUUCGGGUUGUAAACCUCUUUCAGUAGGGAAGAAGCGAGAGUGACGGUACCUGCAGAAGAAGCGCCGGCUAACUACGUG
rnacentral:rRNA from 1 species